rnacentral:rRNA from 1 species
AUUCCAGCUCCAGUAGCGUAUAUUAAUGUUGUUGCAGUUAAAAAGCUCGUAGUUGGAUUUCUGACUUGACGCGCCUGGCCCGCCUUGCAUUUCGCGGGUGAGUGCCGGAGCGCGUCGGUCAUCCUUCUAGUGAACGGCGCUACCCUUCACUGGGUCGGCGUCGCAAUCUAGAUCUUUUACUUUGAAAAAAUUAGAGUGUUCAAGGCAGGCUCGCGCUGUGAAUACAUUAGCAUGGAAUAAUAAUCUAGGACUUUGUUCCUAUUUUGUUGGUUUCUAGGAAUUAAGUAAUGAUUGAUAGGGAUAGUUGGGGGUGCUAGUAUUCAGCGGCCAGAGGUGAAAUUCUUGGAUUCGCUGAAGACUAACUUAUGCGAAAGCAUUCACCAAGGAUGUCUUCAUCA